rnacentral:lncRNA from 1 species
CCCCACCUUCGCCUCCAAGAGGCUCACCUUCCGGUUCUCCCGGGUGCUGGUCGACGGCGGCAACAGCAUCAACAUCCUCUACCUCGACACUCUCCUCAAGCUCGGGCUCAAGGAGACGGACGUCCUGCCGACCAGCACUGUCUUCCACGGCAUCGUGUCGGGGCAGUCCUGCUCGCCUAUCAGCAAAAUUCAGCUGGACGUCCUC